CCCACACUCUGGCGUAGGUCCUCUUAGCAGGGAAUGAGAUAAUAACUGAUGACAUGAAGAAAGCUGAGGUGUUUAAUGCCUAUUUUGAUUCAGCCUUCACUAAAAAGGUUAAUGGUGACCAGAUACUCAACACAAGGAGGAAAG